GAUGAACGCUGGCGGCGUGCCUAACACAUGCAAGUCGAACGGAGAUUUAACGCUGAUGAGGCUUCGGCCAAAUCUUGUUAAAUCUUAGUGGCGGACGGGUGAGUAACGCGUGGGCAACCUGCCUCAUACUGGGGGAUAGCAGUUGGAAACGACUGAUAAUACCGCAUAAGCGCACGGUGUCGCAUGACACAGUGUGAAAAACUCCGGUGGUAUGAGAUGGGCCCGCGUCAGAUUAGCUAGUUGGUAAGGUAACGGCUUACCAAGGCGACGAUCUGUAUCCGGACUGAUAGGUCGGACGGCCACAUUGGGACUGAGACACGGCCCAAACUCCUACGGGAGGCAGCAGUGGGGGAUAUUGCACAAUGGAGGAAACUCUGAUGCAGCGACGCCGCGUGAGUGAAGAAGUAUUUCGGUAUGUAAAGCUCUAUCAGCAGGGAAGAAAGACUCGCAAGAGAGAUGACGGUACCUGACUAAGAAGCCCCGGCUAACUACGUGCCAGCAGCCGCGGUAAUACGUAGGGGGCAAGCGUUAUCCGGAUUUACUGGGUGUAAAGGGAGCGCAGACGGUUAUGCAAGUCUGAAGUGAAACCCCACGGCUCAACCGUGGGCUUGCUUUGGAAACUGUAUAACUAGAGUACUGGAGAGGUAAGCGGAAUUCCUAGUGUAGCGGUGAAAUGCGUAGAUAUUAGGAGGAACAUCGGUGGCGAAGGCGGCUUACUGGACAGCAACUGACGUUGAGGCUCGAAGGCGUGGGGAGCAAACA
rnacentral:rRNA from 1 species